GAUGAACGCUGGCGGCGUGCCUAAUACAUGCAAGUCGAGCGAACAGACGAGGAGCUUGCUCCUCUGACGUUAGCGGCGGACGGGUGAGUAACACGUGGAUAACCUACCUAUAAGGCUGGGAUAAAUUCGGGAAACCGGAGCUAAUACCGGAUAAUAUAUUGAACCGCAUGGUUCAAUAGUGAAAGACGGUUUUGCUGUCACUUAUAGAUGGAUCCGCGCCGCAUUAGCUAGUUGGUAAGGUAACGGCUUACCAAGGCAACGAUGCGUAGCCGACCUGAGAGGGUGAUCGGCCACACUGGAACUGAGACACGGUCCAGACUCCUACGGGAGGCAGCAGUAGGGAAUCUUCCGCAAUGGGCGAAAGCCUGACGGAGCAACGCCGCGUGAGUGAUGAAGGUCUUCGGAUCGUAAAACUCUGUUAUUAGGGAAGAACAAAUGUGUAAGUAACUAUGCACGUCUUGACGGUACCUAAACAGAAAGCCACGGCUAACUACGUG
rnacentral:rRNA from 1 species